UCACCAGGUUCUCCUUCUCAUCCCUGACACCCCUGUGCUCUCCUUCACCAGGUUCUCCUUCACCAGGUUCUCCUUCUCAUCCCUGACACCCCUGUGCUCUCCUUCACCAGGCUCUCCUUCACCAGGUUCUCCUUCCCAUCCUUCUCUGUUUCAGAAGUGUGUAAAGCCCUGAAAUAAAUUGAUAGAACAGAAUCCCCUGUCCCUGAUGAACUAGACCCCUGCUUCCUACACCUGCUGCUGACAUCAUUGCUCCACCCUAUAUUUCUAACCUCACGCUUGAUGUUCAGGAAAUCCCCAAGUUAUGGAAAUCUGCUUUUGUACUGCCUCUCCUGAAAGGUGGAGAUCCUUCGCUACUUGACAACUAUCGUCCCAAAUCAAAACCGUCUGUUCUGUCAAAGGUCCUGGAGUCCUUAGUUAGUAGGUCCUGGAGUCCUUAGUUAGUAGGUCCUGGAGUCCUUAGUUAGUAGGUCCUGGAGUCCUUAGUUAGUAGGUCCUGGAGUCCUUAGUUAGUAGGUCCUGGAGUCCUUAGUUAGUAGGUCCUGGAGUCCUUAGUUAGUAGGUCCUGGAGUCCUUAGUUAGUAGGUCCUGGAGUCCUUAGUUAGUAGGUCCUGGAGUCCUUAGUUAGUAGGUCCUGGAGUCCUUAGUUAGUAGGUCCUGGAGUCCUUAGUUAGAAGGCAGCUAAAGGCCUCCAAGAAAACAACUUCUUUGGAAUGCGGUUCAUCAUGAAUUUUAAUAAAGAAAACACUGAACACAAACAGUAAACAAAUAACAACCAACUAAAUAAAUACAAAACAAAGGAAAUAAAGGUCAGAACGUGACACUUUAAUGCAGUCAGGCUUUAGGUCUGGACACUGUACAGUAUAUCAACAACAUUGGGGAUAUUAAUGAAACAGAAGAUGUUCAUUUUUAUACAGAUGAUACUGUUCUGUAUUCAAGUGGUAGUAGUUUAUCAGUUAUAAGUUAAAUAGUUAAAGUCAUCAUUAGUUGUAGUAGUUUAUCAGUUAUAAGUUAAAUAGUUAAAGUCAUCAUUG